ensembl:lncRNA
AAAACCUGCAGCUCAGAAUCAGCACAAAAAGACGUAAUCACAGCGCGGACCGGACGCAUCAGGAUCGCUGAGCUCCGACAGCGUGUCCGUCUGCGGGCCGUCGGGUGAGAAAGCCGAGAAAGACAAAGCUGAUUCUGAUGCGUCGGGUCUGUGUUUACGUCUUUGUGUGGAGUCCGUGUACCUGCUCUCAUCUGCUGUUCGGUUGUUGUUGAAAUGGUUUUGUGAGCUUUAAUCUGAGAAUCUGGUGUUUCUGGCAAAACACAGUUAUAUUUAAAAGUCGAUUCAGGAUUUAAUGAAUUGAUAUCGCUUUAUUCAAGCGACUCACCUCCCACUUCCACCUGCACUUUCAACUGGACCACGGCCAAUCAGAGAGGUCCCGCCCCUGACUAUCUCUGAUUGGUUUAGUCCACGAUAGGGGCAAAAUGUGUGUCUGUUGUUGACCACAGGGAAGGUUGCAGAUUUUUUUUUUUUUUUUGUUACCCGAACAGUUUUUUUUUAGUUUUUUUUAGUCGCACCACUGAAAAAUUUGGUCGCAUUUGCCAUCAAAUUGGUCGCACUCUAGAGCCCUGAAAAAGAUUCAGCAUUGCACGUGAUACAUGCAACGCAUUAAAGCAGCUUUCUCCACCCCUAAAAUAAAGUACAUCCAGUAAGAACUUAGAGUCACACAGUGGGUGCUAAAAAGGAAGUGAUCGCAUUAAAAGCAUCUCUCUGAUAUUCAGACUGGUCAUUUAUUUAUCCAGACAAGAUGAAGACUGCAUGGUUCUCUUUUCUCCGCUUCGGUGUGUGUGUGCUGCUGCUGUCUGCACCGACUGUUUCUGCAGUGUCUCUGUCUGUCAGUCCAAACCUUCAGCAGGUCUUCAGAGGAUCUUCUUCAGUGUAUCUGAGUUGUGUUGAUGAUGGACAGACAGCUGAUGGAUGGACAGUGAAGAGGACCAGAGGAGGACUCACUGAGGACUGUGGAGCAGCUGGGUCAGAGUUUAGUAGGAUUAACAGUUCCUUCUGUGCUCUCGAUCUCAGUCUCUCCACUGGUGGAAAUUUCCUGUGUGUAAGCUCAUCUGGACAUCAGAGUGAAGAACUCUCCAUCAGUGUCUCAGGCAAAGAUGUGAUCCUGGAGAUUCCUGCACUUCCUGUCAUGACAGGAAGUGAUGUCGCUUUGUGCUGUACACCCAAAGAGGGAGAAAGACGACAGUCUUACUUCGUCAGAGAUAAUGUUCCACUUGGAUCUGGACCUGAAGGAAAGUGGAUUCUCUCUAACGUCCAGCGGUCUGAUGAAGGUCUCUACUGGUGUUAUACUGAUAUUCAUCCACCUUCUCUUCAGAGCAGACUGAGGGUCAGAGUAGACUCCUCCUCCCCUCGUUCUUCUGCUCCCCCCAUCACCCCUCUUCCUCCCCCUCCCUCUAUGUCAGUGCUCAGACUUGUCUUCCACCUGGUGGUCUUCUGUCCAUACGUGGUCUGCACUGCUCUGCUGCUGUCCAUCUUCUCCACCUGCUCAGGUAACACACCUGUCGUUUCCAUGGAAAUGAGCCAACCUGCUGUACAGGAUGAUGUCACCACUGAGCAUCACUUCUGACCUCUGAGCUGACAGGAAGUGAAGGAGCUGGAGCAGCUGGGAUGUUCCUGUGUCUGACCCAGAGUCAAACCUGUGGUCUGUAAAGACUCCUCAGUCUGAUCUUUGAGUCAGUCGGCUUCUCAGUGAACUGGUCAGCUGGUGACUGGAUGGAUACAAACAUUAACCUUGUGCUUUUAUGUGUUUAAUGCUUCAAGUGAUCAGAAAAUGCAUUUUUUAGUAUGUGUUAUACUGUAAGGUCAGAUCAGACAACUGGUAUGAUCAGGUGCUUUGUGAGAGCGGGAAUGAAAAGCUGAACUGAUCAGUGAUUGGAUCAAACAGUCUCUGAGUAAGACCUGACUCUGUUUCUGUGUUGAUUUAUGCUUUAAUAAAACAUUCGAACAUUACAGAGCAGAUACUUCAGUGACAUGAACAGUGAUUGAAGUGAUUCAGGAGUGUGAGCUAUGGCUGAUGAUGAACUAUGGCAUUUAUUAUGGUUUAUUGUGUGCUGAUGAGGUUAGCCUGAGAGCGCUAACAGCAGUCUGAGCCACAGCCUUAGAGUGUGAGCACCAAUAAGCUGUGAUGGAAACAGGAGCAAACUGAACAUAGUCAAACAUCACAGACACAGAGCUGAUCCUAUCGUGUAGGAUCGGGAAGUGGAACCACACGAGGAAACAGCUGACACGGAUGCAUAAUGACACCACAGGGCAAGAGUAGAACUAAGCACACUGAACAAGGGAAACAAGACCUUUCAAAAUAAACCUGCAGAGAACAGGACAUGACCCAGACUAGACAAUAUGAGAACGGACGGAGAAUACAUGACACAAAAGACCAGGACACACAUACACCAGGUGACAUGAAGAG